CCUACGGGGAGCAGCAGUGAGGAAUAUUGGUCAAUGGACGCAAGUCUGAACCAGCCAUGCCGCGUGCAGGAAGACGGCUCUAUGAGUUGUAAACUGCUUUUGUACGAGGGUAAACGCAGAUACGCGUAUCUUUCUGAAAGUAUCGUACGAAUAAGGAUCGGCUAACUCCGUGCCAGCAGCCGCGGUAAUACGGAGGAUUCAAGCGUUAUCCGGAUUUAUUGGGUUUAAAGGGUGCGUAGGCGGUCGGAUAAGUUAGAGGUGAAAUCCCGAGGCUCAACUUCGGAAUUGCUUCUGAUACUGUUCGGCUAGAGAGUAGUUGCGGUAGGCGGAAUGUAUGGUGUAGCGGUGAAAUGCUUAGAGAUCAUACAGAACACCGAUUGCGAAGGCAGCUUACCAAGCUACUUCUGACGUUGAGGCACGAAAGCGUGGGGAGCAAACAGGAUUAGAUACCCUUGUAGUC
rnacentral:rRNA from 1 species